GAGAAGUUAGUUAAAGUUAUAACAUCAGCUUGUCAUGUUGAAAUUAUUGUUAAAUACUUCUUU
rnacentral:tRNA from 1 species